UACGGAGGGUGCAAGCGUUAUCCGGAUUCACUGGGUUUAAAGGGUGCGUAGGCGGGCAGGUAAGUCCGUGGUGAAAUCUCUGAGCUUAACUCAGAAACUGCCAUGGAUACUAUUUGUCUUGAAUAUUGUGGAGGUAAGCGGAAUAUGUCAUGUAGCGGUGAAAUGCUUAGAUAUGACAUAGAACACCAAUUGCGAAGGCAGCUUACUACACAGUUAUUGACGCUGAGGCACGAAAGCGUGGGGAUCAAACAGG
rnacentral:rRNA from 2 species